UCGAGCGGAAACGACUUAACUGAACCUUCGGGGAACGUUAAGGGCGUCUAGCGGCGGACGGGCGAUUAAUGCCUGGGAAUAUGCCUUAGUGCGGGGGAUAACUAUUGGAAACGAUAGCUAAUACCGCAUAAUGUCUUCGGACCAAAGAGGGGGACCUUCGGGCCUCUCGCGCUAAGAUUAGCCCAGGUGAGAUUAGCUAGUUGGUGAGGUAAGAGCUCACCAAGGCGACUAUCUCUAGCUGGUCUGAGAGGAUGAUCAGCCACACUGGAACUGAGACACGGUCCAGACUCCUACGGGAGGCAGCUAGUGGGGAAUAUUGCACAAUGGGCGAAAGCCUGAUGCAACCAUGCCGCGUGUAUGAAGAAGGCCUUCGGGUUGUAAAGUACUUUCAGUAGGGAGGAAGGUGUUGUAGUUAAUAGCUGCAGCAUUUGACGUUACCUACAGAAGAAGCCCGGCUAACUCCGUGCCAGCAGCCGCGGUAAUACGGAGGGUGCGAGCGUUAAUCGGAAUUACUGGGCGUAAAGCGCAUGCAGGUGGUUCAUUAAGUCAGAUGUGAAAGCCCGGGGCUCAACCUCGGAACCGCAUUUGAAACUGGUGAACUAGAGUGCUGUAGAGGGGGGUAGAAUUUCAGGUGUAGCGGUGAAAUGCGUAGAGAUCUGAAGGAAUACCAGUGGCGAAGGCGGCCCCCUGGACAGACACUGACACUCAGAU
rnacentral:rRNA from 1 species